GAUGAACGCUGACAGAAUGCUUAACACAUGCAAGUCGACUCGAGUCUUCGGACUUGGGUGGCGCACGGGUGAGUAACGCGUAAAGAACUUGCCUCUUAGACCGGGACAACAUCUGGAAACGGAUGCUAAUACCGGAUAUUAUGGUUUUUUCGCAUAGAGGAAUCAUGAAAGCUAGAUGCGCUAAGAGAGAGCUUUGCGUCCCAUUAGCUGGUUGGUGAGGUAACGGCCCACCAAGGCAAUGAUGGGUAGCCGGCCUGAGAGGGUGAACGGCCACAAGGGGACUGAGACACGGCCCUUACUCCUACGGGAGGCAGCAGUGGGGAAUAUUGGACAAUGGACCGCAAGUCUGAUCCAGCAAUUCUGUGUGCACGAUGACGUUUUUCGGAAUGUAAAGUGCUUUCAGUCGGGAAGAAGUCAGUGACGGUACCGACAGAAGAAGCGACGGCUAAAUACGUGCCAGCAGCCGCGGUAAUACGUAUGUCGCAUGCGUUAUCCGGAUUUAUUGGGCGUAAAGCGCGUCUAGGCGGCAAGGAAAGUCUGAUGUGAAAAUGCGGAGCUCAACUCCGUAUGGCGUUGGAAACUGCCUUACUAGAGUACUGGAGAGGCAGGCGGAACUACAAGUGUAGAGGUGAAAUUCGUAGAUAUUUGUAGGAAUGCCGAUGGGGAAGCCAGCCUACUGGACAGAUACUGACGCUAAAGCGCGAAAGCGUGGGUAGCAAACAGG
rnacentral:rRNA from 1 species